AUUGAACGCUUGAAGAUAGCUGCGUAGUGAAAUUUUCAGUUAUAAAGUGCGGUUGUGUGUGUACCUAUAUGCUGAUUUUAUGCUAAAAAAACAACUUGUUCACUUGUGUAUCACUGCUACAUGAGAGUGGUUACCUGCGAAAAAUUUCCACGAACAUCCAAGACCAAGGCUCGUGCGAUUACAUGACAUCAUUUGGAGUAUAUUUUACGUGCGUGUAUAGUGCAUUGUGUAUGGACAUUCUAAAACAGUAAAAUAAACGUUCUUUUGAACACAAAUAUGUGAUGCUUGGUUACGUAUAAAAGGCAAGGACGGAACACUCGCCAAUGACAGAUCCACAAAAUUUAUCGUUGACGAUGAGGACGAAGAGGAAUGGUGGCGAGCAACAUAGAUCGACAUAUGAGGUUUGUCUCCAUGAAAUAUAAAAGGCAAUGUUCCGCCUCCUGCAGUUGGGACAUGGCCAACGUAAUCUUGGGACUGCGUAACGCUCGCAAAGCCAACAAAUAGUGAAUCGCUCAAAAUCAGAAUUUGUUUUGAUUCGACGUGAUGUAAAUAAACACCUAAUGUCAGAAAGCAGCAGAGAAAAUAGAGUUUGUGAAGAAAGAAAAAACAAAAAGUUUGUUACGUAUCCAAAAAUUAUCUCUUAAAUUAGCGCCAAAACUGCGCACUAUUAAAAACACAGCAAACAAAGAGAAAAACUGUAAGCGGCGCAAACCAAGGUAGAUCUUUGGAGGUAACAACAUGUAAAAACAAGACAAAAUUCAAUAAAUUUAAACACUUUUACCAACAAAAUUUCUGCACACAAAAGUAAAAAAUACGACCACAGCGCGCGCGCAGAGAUGCCGAACAGUGAAUUGACUGUAAUGAUGCAACAGACACAACGGGAGAGUUUAUAAAGAAGCAAGCGGAAGAACAGGCAAUUCGCAGGAUAUACUAUAUAUGCAAAUAUCUUUAAAAAAGUGCGCUGCGAUAAAUAUUUAAUAUUCCCAGAUUUUACAGACCGUCUGUCUGUUCAUACAACACAAAAACCCGAAUUUUUUGAUAUAUACCGGUAACAACAUGAAAUGUUCCCAGCAGAAUAUUAUGAAAGUAAACAUAAGUUAAAUAUUAGGGAACUGAUUUUUGAUAAGAUUAUUGAGAAAUUUUACCGUGGACAACGACUGCAACAAAAAUAAACGCCGCUUCCUGGAGUUAGCAUGUCGACUAAGAGUAUGCUAAAUGAAAAAAUAAAAAAUAGUUUAAAUUGCAUAAAUUAGGACUAAUAAUAGUU